rnacentral:rRNA from 1 species
UACGGGGGGGGCAAGCGUUGUUCGGAAUUACUGGGCGUAAAGGGCUCGUAGGCGGCCAACUAAGUCGGACGUGAAAUCCCCAGGCUCAACCUAGGAACUGCACUCGAAACUGCAUGUCUUGAGUACCGGAGAGGAAAGCGGAAUACCUGGUGUAGAGGUGAAAUUCGUAGAUAUCAGGUGGAACACCAGUGGCGAAGGCGGCUUUCUGGACGGUAACUGACGCUGAGGCGCGAAAGCGUGGGGAGCAAACAGG